rnacentral:rRNA from 1 species
CAACAGAUGAUGCCUAUCAACUGUUUAAAAGAUGGUUCUAGCUAUCACGUCUUGGAUGGGACCUGCGGUGCAUUAGCUAGUUGUAGGGUAAACGGGCCUACCAAGGCGAUGAUGCAUAGCCAAGUUGAGAGACUGAUCGGUCACAUUGGGACUGAGACACGGCCCAAACUCCUACGGGAGGCAGCAGUAGGGAAUCUUCCACAAUGGACGCAAGUCUGAUGGAGCAACGCCGCGUGAGUGAAGAAGGGUUUCGGCUCGUAAAGCUCUGUUGUUGGUGAAGAAGGACAGGGGGUAGUAACUGACCUUUGUUUGACGGUAAUCAAUUAGAAAGUCACGGCUAACUACGUGCCAGCAGCCGCGGUAAAU